rnacentral:rRNA from 1 species
UGGGGAAUAUUGCACAAUGGGCGCAAGCCUGAUGCAGCCAUGCCGCGUGUAUGAAGAAGGCCUUCGGGUUGUAAAGUACUUUCAGUCGGGAGGAAGGUGGUAAGGUUAAUAACCUUAUCAAUUGACGUUACCGACAGAAGAAGCACCGGCUAACUCCGUGCCAGCAGCCGCGGUAAUACGGAGGGUGCAAGUGUUAAUCGGAAUUACUGGGCGUAAAGCGCACGCAGGCGGUUGAUUGAGUCAGAUGUGAAAUCCCCGGGCUUAACCCGGGAAUUGCAUCUGAUACUGGUCAGCUAGAGUCUUGUAGAGGGGGGUAGAAUUCCAUGUGUAGCGGUGAAAUGCGUAGAGAUGUGGAGGAAUACCGGUGGCGAAGGCGGCCCCCUGGACAAAGACUGACGCUCAGGUGCGAAAGCGUGGGGAGCAAACAGG